rnacentral:rRNA from 1 species
AUGCCGCUGCCGCUGGCGUGCCGCACCCACGGUGGCAACGCCUCAGCCCCGCUGACCAGCCUCCCGGACGACCUCGUCGAGGAGAUCUUCCUCCGCCUGCCCACGGCCACCGACCUCGCCCGCGCAUCCACGGCCUGUACCUCCUUCCGCCGCAUCAUUGCCGGCCACUUCUUCCUCCGCCGCAUCAUUGCCGGCCACUUCUUCCUCCGCCGCUUCCGCGCCCUCCACCCGCCGCCUCUCCUGGGCGUACUCGCGUACGACUCAGCCGAGCGGAAGAACCUCUCGGUCGCCUUCCUCCCAGCCCAGCCGCCCCACCCCUCCGCCGCCGCGGCCGCCUUCACCCUCGCCGCCGCCGACUUCUCCUGCUCAUUCCUACCCUCCCCAGAGCUCUGGAGUACCUGCGACUUCGGCGACGGCCGCGCCCUCCUCUCCAAGCAGGGGAUUCACUGGCCGACCUCGCAGUAUGCGACCCGCUGCACCGACACUACCUGA